UCUUUUUCGGUCUACUAGAUUGCCUCUUCGAGUUAGGCGACAAUAUCUCAUGACUUCGGUGAUUGUCUACUUUUCAUAGGGCACAGUCUGUCAAGGUAUUCAAUUUCUGCUUUUUGACUCGAUAAUCCUCAUUGUGAGGGUUCCUUUGUAUAUAUAGGAAUAAUAAGGCAAAUUAGCAAUUUUCUACCAAUUACAACUAAUAUACAAAGCUAUACAAAGCAUCUCUAAUUCUGGCGUCAAUUACUUGCUGGCCGUCAAUUACUCUUUCUAUCUAAUUGACAUCUCCCC
rnacentral:lncRNA from 1 species